rnacentral:rRNA from 1 species
UACGGGGGGGGCAAGCGUUGUUCGGAAUUACUGGGCGUAAAGGGCUCGUAGGCGGCCAACUAAGUCAGACGUGAAAUCCCUCGGCUUAACCGGGGAACUGCGUCUGAUACUGGAUGGCUUGAGACUGGGAGAGGGAUGCGGAAUUCCAGGUGUAGCGGUGAAAUGCGUAGAUAUCUGGAGGAACACCGGUGGCGAAGGCGGCCCCCUGGACCGGUACUGACGCUGAGGCGCGAAAGCGUGGGUAGCAAACGGG